rnacentral:rRNA from 1 species
CGAACGCUGGCGGCGUGCUUUACACAUGCAAGUCGAACGGAAAGGCCCUGCUUUUGUGGGGUGCUCGAGUGGCGAACGGGUGAGUAACACGUGAGUAACCUGCCCUUGACUUUGGGAUAACUUCAGGAAACUGGGGCUAAUACCGGAUAGGAUCUCCCGCUGCAUGGUGGGGUUUGGACAGUUUCGGCGGUUGGGGAUGGACUCGCGGCUUAUCAGCCUGUUGGUGGGGUAGUGGCUUACCAAGGCUUUUACGGGUAGCCGGCCUGAGAAGGUGACCGGCAACAUUGGGACUGAGAUAAGGCCCAGACUCCUACGGGAGGCAGCAGUGGGGAGUAUUACACAAUGGGCGGAAGCCUGAAGCAGCAACGCCGCGUGCGGGAUGACGGCCUUCGGGUUGUAAACCGCUUUCGCCUGUGACGAAGCGUGAGUGACGGUAAUGGGUAAAGAAGCACCGGCUAACUACGUG